rnacentral:SRP_RNA from 1 species
CUUGCAUUAUAAAGUAUGCCUAUAGCACCUGAUACUAGGGAAGGCUGAGACUGGUGGUUUGCUUAAGCUCAAGAGUUCUGAGCUGUACAGUAGGACUAAAGUCAGUUGUAUGUCCUCAAUGAAUCUAGCAUCAAAAUGGUGACUCUCCAGGAACGGGCAGCCACCAGGCUUCCUAAGGAGGAAUGAAUUGGCCCAAGUUCGAAAUAAAUCAGAUCAACGUGUCUGUGCUGAUCAGGAGUGGGGCCCAUGAUCAGUUGCUGUAUUUCUAGCCUGAGUGACAUAAGGAGACUCAGUCUCA